GUCAUCGUUGUCUGGCGCUGCCGCCGCCACGGCCACCGCCACGGCCGCCGGCUGCUGCAGCCCCUUGCCGCCGGCCGCGGUCGGUCCGGGCUCCGGGACGCAGCCAUUCUCCGAGCGGCCCUCGGCCGAAGGCGGUGGCUGGGAAGGCUGCGACUGAGAGUCCUCCUCCAGAGCCAGGUAGCCGGCCGGGCCUCGGCUCGGGGUAGGGGGCGAGGCAUCGUCGGGCGCCUGCUGCUGUGCUGGUGGCUGCGGCUGCCGGGGGCUGGUUUGCUGCUGCUGAGGCUGUUGGGGCGCCUGCUGCUGCUGGUGGUGGUGGUGCUGCUGCUGCAGACGGGCGCCGGGGGGUGCUGCGCCCGCGGCUACACCGGGGUGCCGGGCGCCCGGGUUCUGGAUCACUUCGCGCACGCUCUGGAACAGGUUCUGAAACGCUCCCCGAAAGGUUUUGGACGACUGCCGGGGGUAGACCCUCCCCAAGCCCAGCUGCACCUCCAUGGUCUCCGCUGUUCUGGGGCUCCUUCGGCUGGCCCUCCCCUCCGGCCCAGCCCGACUGCUCUGGGUUUAGCUCGGUUCGCAGAGUUCUUCAGCGGGCGCCUCUGCGGCGGUUGCGGCUACUGCCCACCUGCGGAAAGCUCCAGCGGAGGAAACUUGGAGAAGCCACUAUGCACGAGCCCGACAAAGUCUGGUGCGGAGCCCCGCGCGGCGGCCAGAAAUAGCUCUGGCUGUGGUUCCACAUCCCAGGCAAGAACAAUGCCCUUUGCCUUCAAGCCCACUACACACAUCGACCUGGCCCCAGUAAACAUGCUGAUGGAAUAUGCAGACACACAAUUUUCAUUGGAUUUUCACAUUCAUUAAGCCCCAAUGCUGUUCUCUGAUUAACAACAUUCUUGAGUGGCCCUGGAGGGUAUUAGAUCUCAAGCCACCUCUGAGCUGUGGACUAAGGGCAAAUCUUUUGUCAUCUCUACACCUCAGUUUUCCAAUCCAUGAAACAGAUAAUUCUAUAAUGCCUGCUGCAGAGUUGUGGUGAGGCUCCGAUGCCAUCAUGUGCACAAAUCAUUUUGCAAAUGUUAAAACACUAUAAUAAAUAUCACUAUACGACACUACA
rnacentral:lncRNA from 1 species